AGCAAUAAUCAACAGGGCUCAAAAAAAAAAUAAACCAAACCUCAGAACGGUUCAAUUUGGCACGGACUGCAAUGGGUGUUCGCACAAAUUUUAGGGAUAAUUUGAAAGCAUUCAAAGAAAAGAAAACAAGGCUUAAUUGUACGCAGGGGCAGAGGAAAGGGACUGGUCGCGAAAAUAGACCAUUAGGGGGAAAAGGUGCGGAUCUGGACCAUUUAAACUGCCGUACAAAUUUUCAAUUUGUGGGCAAAAUUCCCUUAGGCCAUUCAGCUCCUUUUUAAAAAAAAAAAAAAAAAAGUCUCUCCUAUCCCUCUGCUAGAGUUUUUGCUUUGGGGAGCCACAUAGGAGGGUCAUCGGCGCCUCAACGCCUCCACCUCUGGCCCCGGACCACGAGAUAUACUAGGUGCUUGGUGGGUGUGGACUCUGACGUGAAGGUGGAGUGGCGCACGACUCGGAGGAGGGGCGCUAUUGGCUGCGGCACAAGGGCAGUCUGCUUAGGGUUUGGCUGAAAAUUGUUUUAGCUUUUGGGCUAUGGGAUUGGGGUGUUGGGUUAGUUUGGGUUUCAAUUGGGCCAUGGUUUGAAACUGUUUAUUUUGAUUUUUUAUUUAUGGGCCCCGGGCUGAAUUGGGCCAUAACAGAUAUUAUACUUCUAUACAAAAAAGCUAUAUAAUUUAAAUAUAUUAAAAUUUAAAUUGACAACCAAAUUGGCAGAGAGAUAUGUGACUCAGCCAUUCAAAAAUAUCAACAAAGAAGAAGAAAGGCCUUGAAAAGAUAAAAUCAGUUAACCAUGGCACAACAAGAAACUAGUAAAGGUGUUUUUUUCCUUUUAUCUUUAGCAUCCAAACCAAACAAAAGAAACCCAUUCAAACAACAUUUAUACCCUACCCCAAGUCUUGGAAAGGCAAGAUAUUAAAAGCCACUUAUAAAAAUAAUUCCAUUUAAGAUUUGUAAUAACAUACUUAGAAUCAUCAAAUCUCAAACUAUUUCGGACCAAUGUCCUUGAGAGCACAGAUCUGCUCCUCCCCCAUAGCCGACAUAACAGACACCACCAGGUCUUUUCCCUCACCAAACCCAUCCUUGAUC